GAGUCACUUCCACAACUGUCUGCCGCUCAUCUGAUAUGCCACAUGGCCUUUAUGAGCAUAUGCAUGAUAGGAAGGAUGGUGUUGUCAUCAGGGCAUUGGCCUGGAAGUCAGGAGACCUGGAUUCAAUUUCUGGCUCUGCCACACACUUCCUUUGUGCCCCGCCCAUCACUUCAGCUAUGGCUCAGGUCGCCAUCUGUAAAAUGGGAGUCACACUUUCUUCAUCUCACAUUUUGUCUGUCUUGUCUACGUAGAUUCAAUAUGCAGUGCUACAUGGCCUGGGAAACACAGUGGCCACAACAAUACAUACCAUGGCACCCAGAUACCACAGUGAUGGGCAUAAUAUAGCAAUGUGACUGGAACAGAACUUUAUGCAAAGAUCAAUACUGUUUUUAAAAAUUCAGCAUAUAAAGAAUGAAGGCCUGAUUGUCCAAUCCAUUUUA